UACGAAGGUGGCAAGCGUUGUUCGGAUUUACUGGGCGUACAGGGAGCGUAGGCGGUUGGAUAAGUCCUCCGUGAAAUCUCCAGGCUUAACCUGGAAAGUGCAGAGGGGACUGUUCAGCUAGGGGAUGGGAGAGGAGCGCGGAAUUCCCGGUGUAGCGGUGAAAUGCGUAGAGAUCGGGAGGAAGGCCGGUGGCGAAGGCGGCGCUCUGGAACAUUUCUGACGCUGAGGCUCGAAAGCGUGGGGAGCAAACAGG
rnacentral:rRNA from 1 species